CACAUCUGCAUUGACAAGUUACAACUUAUAUCCUUCUAUGGUGUUUUUGCUCUUUUGAAAUGUUAAUAAAAACUUAAUGUGGAAAAAAAACAACUUUUUCCAAAUAUGUGUACCAAUGGGCCCGAGGCAACUCAUUUUUCUUCUUAAAGUUAAUUGCAACUUUUUUUCUCAGCGCCUUGAUCUGGAUAAGCCACAUCUCAUUAGAAAAAGAUUUAGCUGGAGCCAAAGCAGGCUAGAGAAGGAAUCCCUAAUC
rnacentral:lncRNA from 1 species